UAGCUCAGUCGGUUAGAGUAUGGUGCUGAUAACACCAAGGUCACGGGUUUGAUCCCCGU
rnacentral:tRNA from 1 species